UCUUCUUUAAAAGGGCGUAUUACUAAAUUUAAAAACUAUAUUGAUUUAAUUGACAAAAAAGAAGAGUUAUCUACUGUUGAAGUUACGGAACUUUCAAUAAAAUUAGAAAAAUUUCGUUUGUUAUCAAAUCAAUAUGAGCAAGUGCAAGAUUCGAUAGAUGUAUUAAAUUCAGAUAAUUUAGCAUUUGAAAUAAAUGAGCGGGAUGCUAUUGAGCAAGAUUGUGCGACAUAUAUUAUAAUAAUUUAG